rnacentral:rRNA from 1 species
UGUGAGCUCGAUGAGUAGGGCGGGACACGUGGUAUCCUGUCUGAAUAUGGGGGGACCAUCCUCCAAGGCUAAAUACUCCUGACUGACCGAUAGUGAACCAGUACCGUGAGGGAAAGGCGAAAAGAACCCCGACGAGGGGAGUGAAAAAGAACCUGAAACCGUGUACGUACAAGCAGUGGGAGCACGCUUAGGCGUGUGACUGCGUACCUUUUGUAUAAUGGGUCAGCGACUUAUAUUCUGUAGCAAGGUUAACCGAAUAGGGGAGCCGAAGGGAAACCGAGUCUUAACUGGGCGUUAAGUUGCAGGGUAUAGACCCGAAACCCGGUGAUCUAGCCAUGGGCAGGUUGAAGGUUGGGUAACACUAACUGGAGGACCGAACCGACUAAUGUUGAAAAAUUAGCGGAUGACUUGUGGCUGGGGGUGAAAGGCCAAUCAAACCGGGAGAUAGCUGGUUCUCCCCGAAAGCUAUUUAGGUAGCGCCUCGUGAAUUCAUCUCCGGGGGUAGAGCACUGUUUCGGCAAGGGGGUCAUCCCGACUU